GCUUCUGCCAGCUCUGGCCCCCUAGUCAAUGCUCAGGUCAUGGAAAUAUUUCAUGGAGACAUGAUGGCAUGCACAUCCUUUAUGAGCUCUGGUGACUUGGGUUGCACCUUGAAAUUGCAAGAGUGAAGGACCAAAGAGAGCCAGCUGGAAGGAGAUUUGACGGAAGUUGCUUCAUGUUGACAUGAGAAUGAAGGUGAAAUUGGUUGUGGUGGGUGAGAGUGAUUCCAUUGGGAUUCUCAUCUCCGACAGCCAUUUCUGGCUUCUCUGCCUUUUCCUCCCUGGUGUUGGGGACUGACUUGAAGACAGCUUUCAACACAUUUAAUGUUGUCCUGAUUUAAAACUGAGAACACAUUUUUGCAGCUCUG
rnacentral:lncRNA from 1 species